rnacentral:lncRNA from 1 species
CGUCAGGACAUGAACCGUGGGAGGGCAGCCUGACUCUGUGCCACGUGGCACUGCCUGGGCUGCACAGGAGAACGUGGCCGUACACUGCGUGGGGUUCAGUAAUAUCCUUGGCUUCAGGCACUCCCUGGGGUCCUGGCUGCGCCCCAGGGAAGCAACUGAGGGAGCAGCCUCUGCGGAGGCCGACCGUGUGGUGACCGGAGCAUCCCGCACUCGCGUGCAGUGCCGGGGGCUCGCAUCUUCAGGCAGAGGCCUGCGGCGGGGAGAAGCAGACACGGCCCGUGUUUCCUUGUGGGCUGCAGCUGCUUGCAGUCUCUCUGCGGAAGAAGUCCCCUGCCAGUAUAAGCUGUUGUUAUUUGCCUGCUGUCCUAUCUCUGCCCAUCUAAGUCUCACUGCCUGUGCAAUCCGACCCAGAGCUUAACUAAUCUGAGCCACUGAAACAAUUCGCCAUCUUACGAGAAAUGAAAUUAAAAAGUUUCCUCCUGUCUCUUUCCCCGUUGGUCUUGAAAAUCAUUAUUUAAUCCUGGAAGCACUGUUGGCCCUUCUCGAUUUCGCUAUUGUUUCUGCCUCAAUAAAACAAAAUAUCAUUGUGGAGUUUAUUUCUUC